AGUUUUUUCCGGAGCUGAUAUUUAAUUAUAGAUUUGAUUUUGAUAUGAACAGAGUUUUUGAUAGACACUACAACAAAAACGGUCUAUAGCGACACUUUUAAAUAUAGGUACAUGUCAAAAAAGUACUACUAGCUAAAAUUACCGACACUUUUAAAAAGUGUUGCUAUAUGUGGGGUCGCUAGCUAUAUAGUGACAGUUAAAGAGGACGACAGUAAAAGCUCUUCGUCUAGAAUUUCAGUGGAUUGAGUGAAAAGAGAAGAAAAGAUGGUAAUUGAUUUUUUUUUUUUUUUUUCUGUUUGUAAUCGGGCCAAAUGGACUGGGUGUGGUGGGUUGAGUAGAGUAAUCUUUUAUUUUUGGUUGGAUUGGACUUUAUAUUUAGGCAUUAGUAGAUGUGUUUUUAAGUUUUAGCAUAAAUGGGACACUUACUCAAAAGUGUCCCAAAUAUGUGUCCCUAUAACCUAAUUCUGUUGUAGUGAGAGUUUGUCGAUUCCAAGUUAGUAGCUAGCUAGUUAGGUUAAAAAUCACUGACAUGAAAGCGACAUGAUUGAAAUACAGUGACUUCCAGACUUUAUAAAAAUUAGGAUACAGAGACAACAUAAGAAUAGAAUUACUAUACUUUCGGAAGUAUAAAAAAAUUGAUACUUAUUUGGUGCUUCCAACUUUUAGCCUUCAAAUCAACUUCUUUAACUAUUUCUAACAUUUGCUUAUCCUAUGGGGAUAACUCACUCCUCGAAAAUCACUCAACUCUAAAAGGGGAUCACUAUCAUCCUGACCAUUCAACACUUGAUCUAAGUCGGAAGUACUAACUCUUUUAUGCUUUCAAAAGUAUAGUAACUCUACACUAUAUAUAAAGGCAGUAUUAUUAAUUUUGUAAAGAAAUACACUCUCGUAAUUGUUUUCUUGCCUAAAGGAAGCAAUUGGACUUUCCUAACAAUUUUUAAACUAAAAAAUAAUUAUAUGCAAUUAGAAUCAGCCAUGCAACAUAUAAAAAAUGACAAUAGUAAUCCCAACAACCAUUUAAGCUAUAUGCAAGGAAACAAAAUAAUUAAUUGCUUACAUUCUCUUUUAUGGGCUUAAUUUGGCGCACUUUAAACUAGUAAUUAAUAUGGCUGUGCAAGAUCGAGAAGGACACCUAACAAAUAUGAGAUGAAUAUGUAAAGUGUGCGUAAGAGGAUAUAAAACACGCAGUGAACACAUAUCCAUAGAGUAUCUGAUUCGUUAGAAAACAUGUCUGAGAUGGACACGACACAAAUAUGCCAAUACCUUUGAAAUGUCAAGUUUUAUACAUGGUUCUUUACUUGUUGUUUAACAAACACCUAAUUUAAUCUAGACUUAUUCUAUUUCUAUCAAAAUAAGAGUCACAAAUAUCGUCACCCACUCUAAGAUAUCUUAUAAAUUCAAGAUAUUUCCAUACAUUUAUAGUUUAUUUACCAUAUAUAUUGCAGAGAAAUAAACAAUCAAAAUAAUUGUAUUCAAAUCACCAAAAAUUAUGUAUACAUCAAGGAUAAAAUUAAUUUCCCUUACAAGUAGUUACUGAAAGAUCAGAACAAAUGAGAAUGCAAUAUUAAUUAGUUCAAGCACUUACAAAAUUUAAAGCAUCUUGAAGAUGAGAGCUAGGAUUCAAUCCAUUUCCCCUCCUCCCUUCUCCUGGGUUUGAUCAGUUUGAACCUCACUCCCAUGCAGUGACAUCACAGUCUCAAAGGCUCCCACCAGAGCCUUCACCUUGCUCUUCUUCCUCUCCAGCAACUUACUCUUUGUCUCCUCUAUCACAUCAUUGCUCUUCACAGCCUCCUUCUUUCCCCCAUGCUUGGUCUCUAUGUUCUUUUCUAUGUUCUUCUUCACCUCCAACAUUAAUUUCUCCUUCUCAUAAUUCCCCACCUCAUCACCUCCUCCUCCCUUUGGAUCCUCUAAAGUAGUGUUGUGUGCAAUUUCAAUAUUGUCCUCUUUGAUCAUCUCUUCAUUGCUCCUGCUUCCAUCUUCAUGCACUACUCCCUCACUUUCUAAAGGACUUUGUUCAUGCUGCUGCUUAUUACAUUCAUGAGGAGGAGGAGGAGGAGGAGGAGGAGCAUCUUCUGCGGCUUUCGCAUCAAUGGGGUUGGGGAGUAGUUCGUUCGGCAAGUGAUCUUCCAUCGACGAUAUGCUUACAGUGGUUUCAGUACUCUCUUCGAUCUUAUUGUUUCCGAGUAAACUUAAUGCAGCAAACUCUAGCAACCCAGGAUCACUACUUGUCCUUGAUAAUGAACCAUUCUUAGCUUCUUUCCUCUUUACGACCGCCCCGGGGCUCCUCCCCCUCACCACGACAGAUGAAGUGUGGCUGGUUCUACUUUUGGAAGAAGCACUUGCUGAGGGCUUUUCUGGUAAGUGCUUGUGAGAAGCUGCUGCUUUCGACGAGGAAGGUGGAGCCUUAAGCACUGCUCUCUCCUUCAGGGCAGUUGUUGCAGGCGCAUUUCGUUCCGUCGAUCGUCUUGUCGACGGAGGCUUCACGACGGCGGUGCUUGCGGUAACUGCAGUAAGCCCGCGAGACGGCACAGUCGGUUUCUCCGGGCGGCGUUUGGGGGAGGUCGGAAGCGACGAUCGGGACGACGGGCUGCGGCGGGUCGAAGAGACUGUGCUGCUGCUGCUUGUCUUCUCUCUCAGGGUGGUUGCACCUUCCUUUUGCUUUGAUGUAGCCAUGAAAGCUUGUUGUUUGUGUGCCACAAUGAGAAGCUGUAGGUUGGUAUGAUAAAGGAGGAAGGUGGUUAACUUGUCACUAAAGUAGAUUUGAGAAUAUGGUUUUUAAAAGAAUAAUUUAUGCUCACAUCCUUUACUUUGAAGACAAUGUCAGAAAAGUUCUCCAAUCUUUUAUUAAAGUUUAUUUGUGUGUGUGUAAAAGUCAGGAUAGAGUCUUAGGUAGGGGUAAAAGUGGUUAGGAUAAACUCUGAUUGAAUUUCACAUGAAACUCUAUAAGAUGUAAAUGUGAAUGUCCAAGAUAUAAUAUUCGUCACAUAUUUAUAUCCAAAUUUGCAUUCCGCAAAAAAUAGAAAUAAAUGGACGCGAAUACAGUUUUUUAAAAAAUCCGAUUGUAUUCGACCAUUUUGAUCUCAAAAAGAUAAAAGAGAUGUAAAUAUAUAUUGCAAUAAGAUGAAAUGGCUUUGUAUCGUAUUUUUUAUUUGUUUUACUAUAAAUUUCACAAAAAUUAUAUCUAUAUUUAUUUAAAAUGUUAUUUUAUUGAGUAAAAUAUAGGUAUGUAAAGUUUGAAGACGAGUGUGAACAUGUAAUUACAUUGUGUGUUUUAUUGACAUUAGUUUUAGUUUAUAAUUAUAUGUGCAUAUCAAUUUGUAUUAUUAUGAAGAAUAUCCGAAUAUGAAUCCAACUCAUAUCUGAAUCUGGAUUUGUUUUAAGCGGAUAUGGUAAUAAAAUUUAGCAUAUUCGAAUCCGAAUUUGUAUCUGAACAAAAAUAUGGAUGAAGAUUUGCUUUAGUGAAAAUUCGAUCGUAUUCGACUAUUUUCACCCCUAGUAUUAGGUGAUAAGAGAGAAAAUUGUAAUUAAUAUAUGUAACAAAAUGUUCACAUAAGCAAAUUUUCAAAAAGGAUGAUACAAGAUAAAAGCGCUACUGGAAUAUUCAUAUAUUCCUCUAAAAUAAGCGGAAGCUGAUUUUUCCUAAAGAAAAACUGAAAACUUAAUAAUUUGAUGUAAAAAAUGAAAAAAUAAAAGAACGAGAACGUCAUUUUUGGCUUUUGCCAUGUACACAAUUUGUUUAAUUGUAUUCUUGCCGCACCUAUACCUUAACAUUAUUUUCCCUAAUCUUGCCACGUGGUAGCCUAUCUUUCACCAUCAAUUGCCUCUCUUUUGAACCAAAUGACUAAGCGGUCUCUUCGGCUUUCCUUCCCUGUAACGUCUACCUCUUCGGCUUCCCGUCUUAUUAAUUUUUUUUUUUAUAACGUAUGUCUCUUCGACUUCCCAUCUCAUAAUUCCUUCUUUGUAACGUCGCUACUUCGACUUCCCUCUCAUUAGUUUCUAUUUUCUAAGAAUCGUUGCCCGAGAAACCUGUGGGCACGGCAAAUGGCAUUCUCGACAACGACCUCGCCUACUACGUCCGCUCCUCUCGAGCCCGCAAGUGCACCGCCCUCGCUCUCACCGUCAACAUCGAGUGAGUCGAACUCUAACCCUAGCCUCGAACCUUUCUCCCUCGAUGUCGACCACUUAUAUUUGUAAUGUAUAGAACUUGCCGAAAAAGGGUUGAAGGCGCUAUGAUAUUUCACGAAAGUAUCGGUGUUAGUAGAGAAUGCCCUAAAUGAGGAUACAAAGGGGUCCGAUUUUUAUGUAACACAUUUUUUUCUUCUAUAAUUUUUUUUAUCUUUCGUUAUUUUUUAUUAAAUUAUAAUUUUAUUCUAAGAGUUUUAAAGUAUUUUUUAUAUUAUUAAAUUUAAUCAAAUAUGAUUAUAUCCGCCGCAUCGCGCUGGUUCCUACACUAUUAUACUAUAUGGGUAAACUACUAACAAAUCAAAAGAUUUUUAUCCGCCACGUGGACGUUAUGAUGAUUUAAUUUUCAUCCGCCACGUGGACGUUAUGAUGAUUUAAUUUUUAUUUUUUAGUUUAAUCUACGAAUCAUAAUUAAUUGUUGAUUAUAUCUCUCAUCCAAUUUUCAUCUAGCAUCUCCUAAUUAUAAUUAUAAAAUUGUAUAUAUUUUUAUAAUUAUAUAUUUAGUUAGUAAAAUCUCUAUUAGGUCUAAUGUUGCACACCUACAACGAUUAAAAUAGGUGGCAAUAAUUUAAUUAGUUGUGUAAGAGCAAGUUUGGUGCAUCCAUUUUUAUAGGAGAAUUUUGUUAAGAUGUCUUUUUCUGAUCAUCUUUUGUAUCAUUUGGUCAUAUUGAAUUUGAUAUCUUUUAGGAGAAUUUCUGAAUAAAGUCCCUAACUUUUCAUGCUUUUAUUGUUAAUAGUUUACUUGUAAAUAGUUUUAUGUCAGAUAAUUAGUAAGAGAGUAAAUAGUAAUUGAUAUAUACUAACAAACCCCAAACAUAUAUAGUAGGCUCGAACUUUUAGAUUGAAUGAAUUUUAUUAAAGAUGUCACAGUUUUCGACUCAUGUGGGCUAAGCUAGGCUCAGAACUUCUUAACAAGUGGUAUCAACAUCAACGCCGAUAGUUUAAUGAUCUUUGACUACUUGUCUAUGUGCCUUGGUGCAAUCCAGUUGAUGCACCCAAAAGAAUUAAUUAGACCCGAGAGGCAUAGAUUAGGUGCAAGGGGUCGGAUAAUUGGCCCGUUUAAUUAGUCUAACAAGAGUAAUGCAAGCGAGGCACAUGGGCUCGAUGAAUUACUGAGUGGCCCAGAAAUGUAUGGGGUGGAAUGAGUGACUUCGUAGUGACUCAUAAGAAGAACUUAAAAGGGCAUUCUUGGACAGAUGUUUUCUCACACUUCUCCCCGUGAGCGUACCUCGGAGUCCUGGAAGUACGACGAGGAGAAAGAGGACGGUGGAGUCGCCGAGUAGAGGGACCACGGUAGAAACAUCAAAGGAAGAUACGACGGAGACGAAGCGACGAGGGAAUGUCGUGGAGACCUCGGAGCCCAGGAACUAUCAGAAGGCGGAGCACCAGGACUGGGGUGGACCUUGGAGGGAAACCAUCCGCUCUCCUCACUCUAAGCUAGACCCAGAACUGGAGCGCAGAUUCCAAGGGCUCAAACUAGUUUUUCACCAUUUGAGUAAGGGCUCAAACGAGCUUUUCACCAUUUGAGUAACGGAGUUAAGCUAGCCACGUACCAAAGCUCCUCCACCAAGAAGGUACUCUGGGCAGAUGCCGCAGGGCUAGCCUUAACUACGGUUACCUACUUCUGCAAGGACGACUCUUCUUUAGUCCUUGGACAAUGUGUGGUUCCUAAACCUCAGCUUGGAAACAACUUUCAGGCCGAUGACAAGACAUGGCCUGAUGAGCACUAUACGAGCAACAUGCAUUUUACUCUAUCCUAUAAGAAGUCCUACAGAGACGCAUUGCUCUGUCCAGCUUCCACUGCUCCACCCCGAAACUACUCACGAUCCCACUUCUUCAGCCACAGCAAAUCCAACCGAUCCACCUCCCACUCCGACAAGUGCUUUAGGUGCCUCCAAAGAGAUCAUAGAGUCUCCCGAUGUCGAGAUGCCAUUCGGUGUGCCCGGUGCUUCAAAAUAGGGCACAAAGCACGGGCCUGUAUGAAUCGACUGCCGAUGGACAUCUAUAGAGCUAUGUACGCUCGCCCGGCCUACUUGAGCUCUUUCGUUCCACUUUCUAAAGACUUCUUUGCCCGGCAAAAUCAUUGACGCAACGCGAUACUUGCCGAUGUGGUCCCCCCCGGUGAACCUUGGCCACUUCCCCCAGGAAACCAUUGCCGACGGCCUUGCAAACCGUUUCGAUGGCUACCCAACCGACUUCCACGUUGCCCGUAACAGCGAAAGAGACUAUGUCAUUUUCCUUCCUAAAUGGGUCCAGAGCGACUAUAUCAUGCAGCGUGAAGUAAUCAGCCUGGGGGAUUUCAAAUUUUAAUGAUUUGCCUGGAACCUGUACAAUAGUGCACGACGCUCUUCGAUUCCCUAUCAAGUCUGGAUCCGACUGGUUAGUCUCCCCUAUGAAUGCUGGUCAUCUCGUAUUGUUGCAGCUCUCAUCAGUGGCUUCGGAAGGUUCAUUAGAGCGGACGACUUCACCUCACGCAUGAUCAACCUCUCCUGCUAUCGAUGCCUCGUCACCGUGAACCACCUCUCCAACAUCCCUGAGAAUCUAGAGAUUACAUUCGGUGAUAUAUCUAUCUCGGUCUUGGUAUAGCUAGAUAGGUGGGGACGCGGUGGCAACAACGGACGCGGUAAUCCCCCUCCACCUCAUAAUGAGCGUUCAUAUCACCAUGACCCUGAUGCAAGGUCAACUGAAGUAGAUCGUCGCGACUUCGGUAAUGCUGAAGCGCGAUGUUCAAUGAACGGCGACGGCUUUGAUAGAGACGACUCCUGGAACUCCUCGAAAGUUCGAGACAAAGUGCGUGGUGGCUACCUUCCAGCUUGCCGUAGAAGAGACCCACCAGCCGGACGCGGCCCCCCUGCACUGUCACCGGCGCCAUCUGCUUUUGCUUCUCCGAGCGACGGUGAACUUUAAAGAGGAGUUGAUUGUUCAACCUCCUUUUCGAAUUCUCAAAAGCUUGACCUUUCCCCUUCUGGGAAAUCGGACUUAAUGGUUAUCAAACAUACAAAAUCUUCAGAGUGCAUCAACCAUGCAAUGUUUCCUUCGGCUAUACCUCCUCUUUGUCUUGUGUUUCCCACUUUCUUAAAUGGAGCCUCACAAGUUAUGCGCCGGGAUCCGCGCUAGUCUUACAAACAUAGGAAUGGAAACUACGGGAGUCUCGAGACUGUGGAGAAAAGUGGAACUUUUUAUGGCAGUAGCCGUUGUCCACCCUUGGGAUUCUCGAGCUCCUGUUUAGCGGUGGAUAAUGGAGCCCUCUCCUUGGGACCCAAUCCCACUAAUACCGGUAGGAUUCUUUCACUCCAAGUGCCUGGACCUAUCUCUCUCAAUUUGGGCCUCGAUCUUCCGCCCCCACUAGAGCCGGCCUUUUUAAUUCUCUGAGUUUUAUCUACUUCUAGUUGGGCCCCUUUGUUGCCCCGACUUUGGCCUGCUUUGGACUGUUUAUGGUGGGCCCAUCUAUGGUCUUGCUAGGACUGAACCCUGGACUUUAUACGGGGCCUUCAGAUUCCUCUCUUUUACUAACUAUGGAGCCCCUGGAAGGGAUCUUGAUCCCCUAGAUCCAACUGACGGAGAACUUGCCUCGGACUCCCCUAGGACUAGUACUCGACUACUCAACCUGCCUAAUUGCACUAGUUUAGGGAGGGCCAUGACAAGAAAAUCCCGACUUCGAGAGAAGAUCGGCCAAAGUAAAGCUGCUCGCAAACUGUCAAGCAAAAAAAUCAAAGAGAAGCCCUUCUUUGCGGCGUCAACCUCUCUACUGCUGAAGCUAAAGAAUUGCAACAGUUCAUGUCUGUUGAAGUCUAGUUUUUUACGAUCUCUUGGAAAACAGCUCUCCUACCCAUCAAUCUUUGUGUUAUCUUUUUUACUGAUGCUUAACAUUUUUAGUUGGAAUGUAAGAGGUCUUAACGACUCUCAUAAACACUGUCUUGUUAAGUCUGUUAUCUCUAAGCUGCAUCGUUCUGUUGUUUGCCUUCAAGAAUCUAAGGUGGAUUUCGUAUCUCACUUCUUUUUUCGCUCAUGCUGCGAAUCAAAUUUUGAUAAAUAUCAUUUCCUUCUGACCAUAGGGGCUUUCGGUGGCCUAAUUACUUGUUGGGACUCAAAUCACUUUCGCUAUGCAGAAGUGAUUAUGAGAAAGCACUCCCUCACUCUACUAUUGACCUACCUUACAAGCGGGAAGGCCUUCUUUCUCACGAAUGUUUACGGACCUCAAGUUGGGAUGGAAAAGAUGAAUUCUGUUCGAAACUCUUAUCUUUCAAAAGCUCAUGUUCUAACAACUGGGUCGUCUGUAGGGACUUUAACAUUACCAAAAAUCAAUUGAAAAGAAAAAGGAAUACUUAGAGUAGAAAAGUAAUGAACAUAUUUUCGGACCUCAUUUGGCAUCAUGAAGAUUCCGAUUCAAGACGGUUUGGCUGAGAAAAGAAGAUUUUCUUUUAAAGAUUGUUAGGAUUUGGUUAGAUUUGUAAUUGAAUCCUACUUGGAUUAGAAUUAAUAUUUAAAUCUGUUGGAGAUAAAUCAUGAUUUAAAUAUUAAUCAGAGGUUAAAAUCUAACUAGAUUAGGAUUAAUAUUUAAAUCUAUUAGAGAUUAAUUAAGAUAGAUUUAGAUAUUAAUUGGAGUAGAAAUCCUAAAUAUAUUAGGAUUGGGGUACGUUUUGGUGGAGCAUUAUAAAUAGCUCUUGAUGGUGCUCUUUUUUUGAUGAGAGUACGGGAGAGAGAGAAAAUGCCUCUUGGGUGCCGUACCAGAGAGAGAAAAAGAGAAAGAGAGAGUUAUUUAGUGCACCUAGUGCAUGGGUGCGCGCGGAUGAUUGUCUUCUGGAAGUAUAGAAGACGAGAGAAGGGUAGGAGAGAUUCAGAGAGAGAGCUCGGGUUGUAGCUACUCUGUGCAGAAGAGGAGUCAGGUGUAAUUUUCUCUUAUUUAAUGAAUCUUAUUUUACCUGCAUAUUUUUUUGUUUUAUGAUUGUAUCAGCUUCUGCUGAGGAGACGGGUUUAUGGUGAAAACCCGAUUCAACGCUUCCGUUGCGGAAUCCCAACAAUCGGUACCGAAUCCACAGCAGUCGGUAUCGGAGUGGGUUGCGGAUUCACGAGAUCCGGUACCGGGGCGAGUACCGGAUUCCCAACAAAGAUUCCUCUCUAAUGGAACGAAGUCCCAGCUAAGACUCAGCCAUUCUUACUAUCACCGCUAAACUACGACAUUGUCAAGUAAGAAUUAAGGAAUGGCGCAAGACGCAUUUCUACAACAUAUCUAUCUCCAAGAAACACCUGUAGGAAGAGCUACAAAAAAUCGAUCAGUUAGAAGAACUACAGGAUCUGAUCCAGCAAUUCCAGGAUAAAUGGGUUGAUCUUAAGAAGCGCCUCCAGCUAAUUUUAGAGGAGGAAGAAAUCCUUGGAAAAAUCAGGGCUAAACAGCAUUGGUUCAAGGAAGGAAACGAUAACACUAAAUUCUUCCACGUAGUAGCCAACGGUCGAAGACGCGCCAACACGAUUGAUGUCAUAGAAGACGACGACGGACGACACAUAUCCAAUGAUGUACACAAGAGAUCCUACUUCUGUCAUAGAUUUAAUCGACUAUUCAAACAACAAGAUAGGAGAUCACAGUCCCUCGGAGACUGGAGUGGACUAUAUUAGUCUAACAGACUACUUUCCCCCGAGCUCUUACAUCCCCAUUUUCUCUUGAGGAGGUCAAAAAAGCAACCUUCCAACUUGGAGGUGACAAGGCUCCUGGGCUGCAUGUUUUUUUGCUAAUCUUCUUCCAAACUUUUUGGAAAACUGUCAAAAGAGAACAUCUUCAAGAUCUUCAUCGACGUAUAGGAGGACAAACUCUCCACUGAACCGACAGACUACUCUUUUGUUUGCCUUAUCUCUAAAAAGGAAGGAGCUCGUAGGCUCAAUGAUUUUCGACCUAUCAGUCUCAUAAAUGGAAUGCAAAAAAUUAUCUCCAAAGUUCUUGCCAAUAGGCUUGCUCAAGUGAUCCAACUAUUGUCUCGCCCUCGCAGUUGGCCUUUCUUAAAGACCGUCUAUUGGCGGACUCGUUCGUCACAUCUAGCGAGCUAGUUGCUUUCAAAAUAGGAAAGUAGUGUGUCAGUAUCAAGGCUGAUUUUGAAAAAGCCUUCGACAAUGGCAGGUGGUCGUCUCUGAAGAGCAUAAUGAUGUGGUUUGGCUUCAAUGACAAAUGGUGGACCUGGGUUGCAAAGUGUAUCUGCAAUGCUAAAGUUGCCAUUCUAGUGAAUGAGACAUCGACAAAAUAGAUUAAAACAAAAAAGGGCCUUAGACAAGGGGACCCACUAUCCCUCUAUCUCUCCCUCCUGGUAGUUGAUUGUCUUUCUAGGCUAACAGAAAGAGCUAGGAAGAACUUGCUUCUACGCGGAAUCGGUCCUUCCGAAGAUUGUGAAAUAGUUCUUAUCCAAUAUGCUGACGAGGCAAUUUUCUUCUAUGAGCCUUGGAAAAGCAUCUUACGAAAUCUCCAGUUUGUAUGAAAAAUAUUCGAAUGGGCCUCUGGACUCAGGAUCAAUAAAGACAAGUCUGAAUUGUACUUCUUGGAAAACAAUCCUCGCAAAGCAUCGAGACUCGCCGCUAUAUUGGGAUGUAAAGUAGGUAAUCUCCCUUUUUGCUACCUGGGCUUACCUCUGCACAAUAAGCAACUGAGAAAGGAGAAUUGGUCCUCAGUCAUCAAUCGUAUCAAUAUAAUAAUUGAAGGAUAGAAAGCAAAGCUCCUCUCCGAAUGAGGAAGACUCAUCCUCGUCAACUCCGUUCUCACUAACCUGCCGCUCUUCUUCUUCUCCAUUUUCAAGGCCCCUAAGUGGGUUCUGCAAUGCAUUGUAGCUUUAAGAAGGGCAUGCUUUUGGAAAGGCUACACCAAAAUUACUAGGGGAGCUUGCCUGGUAAGUUGGAAAUUUGUCUGUAGAAGCAAGACAGAAGGUGGGUUAGGGAUCAAGGACACGGAAUCGAUGAAUAUGGCACUUUUAACCAAAUGGUGGUGGAUAUUCUUCAAUGACCCUGCCUUGCUCUCGAAUAAACUGGUGAGAACACUACUACAAUAGAAGAAGGCCUUUACGCUACGGACGAACAUUCGUGCCUCAUUCGCAAUGGUGGAGAAAUGUGUUGCGCUGCCGAGACGUUUUCAAAUGCGGCGCAACCUACAAGCUCAGAGACGGCAAAGAUAUCAGGCUGUAGUACGACAUCUGGAUUGGGGAAACCCCUCUGAGUACACAGUUUUUGGAGAUUCAUGACAGGCUGCGAAAUAAAGAUGUUAUAGUGGCACAGUGCUGGAACUCAAGCGGCUGGAGAUGGCAUUUUAUCUGUCGCAGAUCUGCAGCGAAUCAUAUCGCACAGAGUCGUAGACAGCUUCUACAGUUUUAGGUCCUGCUCCAGCCCUUCUGUCCAAUCCGCAGGUUGAACUCGGUUAACUGGCAAUGCACUACAAACCAACAAUUUACCGUCAAAUCUCUCUACCUAUUCCUUUCAGACAAUGGAGUGAGAGAUCCUAUGAGUCAUUUUAUUUGGCGACUAAAAAUCCCUAUUAAAAUAAAAGUCUUCAUCUGGUUACUACUUUGAAAGAGACUUCUAACUGACGACCGUCUACAUAAAUACGGCAUACCAAUGAAUCAACAAUGUUUUUUCUGCGCUUUCGACAUGGAAAAAUGUGACCACCUUAUUAGCCAUUGUGUAUUUGUCUGAUACUUAUUUCUCAAUGCGGAAGGCUCGUCCAUUUACACUAAGCCCAUGGAGAAAGUUCGAGGUCUUUAGAGAAAGGCUAUUAGCCUAGCCGACGCAGGAAAGAGAACUAGAAGCCUAACCCUCUUGUCGGCUGUCUGGUGGGUGGUCUGAAUUGAGAGGAACAACUUUAUCUUCCGCAAGAAACCCACGGUUUCUUCUUGCUCGUUGGACUGUGUCAAACAUUUGCUAUCCAAGUGAAGGGAGCCCUCUGCUGUUCACUGACUCUUCUCUCUAGUCUCUUUAUCCUAAGUCCCUCUCCCUGUUUCUUCAGCGCCUUCUCCCACGCUUCUUAUUUUUCUUUUUAUUUUUGGCUUAUUUUUUUUACACUUAUUUUGGAAGCCAAGCCACGACUGCUUCCAUCAUGUAUGCUUAGUUCAUUUUGCCUAAUGAAUGAAGUAGGUAGCUCGCUACCUUUUCUCAAAAAAAUGGAAGAAAGAAAGAAAAUGAUUAAGUUCAAUCCUAACAAAUGGUAUCAAAGUUGAUGUUUUAAUGAUUCUGGGCUACUCGUCUAAAUGGUAUGGUGCAAUUGAAUUGAUGCACUCAAAAGAAUUGAGUCCGAGAGGCACACGCGUGGCAUAUGGACUCAGAUAGUCGAUGCAAUUGAAUAGUUGGACAUGAGAGGCACAAUUCAGGCACACGGGCUCCAUGAAUUCUUGACUAGCACAAGAAUUUGAAGGGCAUAUCCUUCAGACGAGCCUAAAACGACUAAGUUUGAGGGGGAGUUGGCUGGCUGAUUGGCAUGUGAAGAAAAAAAUUGUCAAGAGAUUACAUGUGAAUAGUCUCACAUCUGAUAAUUACUAAAGGAGGAAAAGGUUUAUAUGUAUUAUAUGUACCAAUACACGUGAGUUUUUAGAUUAAACGAGUUUCAUUAUAUAUAUGUCACAUCUUUAAGCUCGCCUUAAUUAUAAUUUCAUUUUUUUAAAAAUUUGGCGUGUAUAUAAAAUUUAUAAGGAUAGAUUAUUAGGCAAGGGAGCGUAAAAUUAUAGUAAGGAGAUGCGCAUACAAUGUUUACACAAGUGCAAGUUUGCACAAAAGAAUUAAAAUUAAAAGAUCUAAUAGUAUAUUAUUAAAUAUAUCCAAAAAAAUUCGGUUGAGAAAUUUAUGGAAAAAAAAAAAAACUCAGCGACUUGUAAUAAAAGAUGAAAAAUAGGGGCUUUUCUUGAAAUUAUCUAAAAAGUAAGCGACUUACGAGAUGAAUUACUCUUUUCCUCCUCGUAUGUCUCUAUUCAUACAUUCGUAUAAAUGAAAAGUACUUCCAUGCAUGAGGACUAAGUAUUAAUGAAUCAACUACUUGUUUUUGUUUACUUUAAGUAGUUUUGCAAAUUUUUUUAAAGCAAGUAUUAAGUAUAAAUUUAAUUUUCCUAUGGUUCAUAAAUCAUUUUUUAUUCUCAAGUUAAUUUGUGUAACGUCUCAAUCUUUGAAUAAGAUACUACAUUUGGUUUAGCGGAUAAAAUUUUAAAUGCGUGAAAAAAAUAUAAAACAAUUAUUUUGAUCUAGCCCGAUGAAAUUUUUUCCGAAUUUCAUUUCAUAUUUCAUGUUCAAAAUUCAGAAUAUAUCUUUUACUAUGAUAUUAUGUGAAAUAAUUAUUUAUCUUAAAAAUCUUAAUUAAACUGCAAAAAAAAUGAUGUGUUAAUACUUUUAGGGCUUGUUUGGUUCAAUGGUGGAAUUGGAAUUGAUAAUGGAAUGAGAAUGAAUUGGAAUGGUAAUUGGAAUGACCCACUCCUCCAAGACAUUUGGUUUAUUUGUAGAUUGGGAAUUGGAAUGAGUUAUUCAUAUUUCAUUGUUUGGUUCGUAUAAACUAAAAAAAUUAUAGAAUACUAUAAUACUAAUUUUACUCUCAAAUAUAAAUUUAUAUUAUUUAAAAUUUAUGAAAAAUAUAAUACUAUUCUCUAAUAAGUUUCCAAAAAAAAUAAUCAAAUUUAUUUUUAAAAACUUUAUUGAUGUGGUUAAGGGAUAGGAUUUUGAGAAGGAUUGGGUUUUUUGUUUUUUUUUUGUGAAGAAAGAGGUGAAGAGAGAGGAGGGGUGAGAUGGUUACAAGGGCUUAGAGAAUCUUAGUGGGCUUUCCGGAAUGAAAUUUCAAUCGGAUUAAAAGUCCGGAAUCAAAUUGAAGGCUAAUUGGGUCAUUCCCAUUCCAGUCCGGAAGAGAAAUUCCACUGAUUCCAUGCGAACCAAAAAAAAUUAACUGAUUUGAUCAAACCGAUUCCCUUUCAUACUCAAAAAAAUGGUGAACCAAAACAAGCCUUAUUAUAUUCACAAUAUUUAACACCUAGUUAGAAUAAAUCAUAAAGUAUGCUGGCAUGUAAACAAAAUUUGGAAAACAAAUCAAUUCCAGAUGUUUUAAUUCAUUCUUUGAAUGAGCAUCUCAAAAGAUGUAAGAGUAAGUAGAUUUUCUUUUUUGCUCUUUUUUUUUUCUCUGUGGGAACAUCUAUGAAGAUAAUAAUUGAAUAAUUUCUAGAAGGAGAAAAAAAAAAACAGGGGGAACAAAAAAGUACCUUGAAUUAAAGCAACCAAUCGAUCAUCUCUCUCUCCUCUCCUCUCUCUCUCUCUCUCUCCUCCUUGCUUCUACCGUUGCUCAAAACUCAGAAGGUUGGCAAUGGUGGGGGGGAGGGAGAGAGAGAGAGAGAGAGAGCAGAGAGAGAGAGAGAAGAGAGAGAGAUGGGUAAGAUUGGUGAUCAGAAAAAACCGGGUAAAAGUAGAUGCUCCAGUCGCUUUUAGUUCGUAAAGAGCAGACACCAAUCAAACGUAUUUAGGUUAGUAAGAAAUUUUGGUUAACUUUUCUAAAUACAACUGUAACGACUGAAACCUUCGCUACAGGUAAUAUUCGUUGGGCUCCAAACCACUAGCCCAAAAUAUUUAAUUCCAGUUAUUAUUACUAGUAGUCCAUAGUCUCAUAUAUAAACCCAAUAAUCAAUACUAUUUCCUCCCGAUUGUGGGACUUAUUGGUGUUCACCACCUCCUCCCGCCAAGAUCACAUACUCCCUCCAUUUAGGCCCUGAUUUCGUCGUCAGCCAGUUUUAGGUCCUGAUGUCCUCGUCAGCCUUAAAACACACAACCACGAAGAUCAUUAGGCGAUGUGAGACUUGUCUCGCUAGUACUUAUCAUUCUGAUCCUAGCUUAAUCUAUCACUUUGUCAUCCUCGACCCUAUCCAGGUACUCCAUCAAACGUCAUGACGCAUCCUGAUGUUGGGUUUCAACCCCUUAUUAGGGGAUAUAAGGAUGGGUUUCACCCUUAAGGGAUAAAAGGAUGCGAGAAAAGUCUCGCGAAUACUCUGCCAUGGUGUGUGUUGGGCCCUGCCCGCUAAAUAUAACCGCCUCAACCAGCUAGCAAGUAAUAACUCGUUGGGCCAAAACCACUGGUCCGGAAUCGUUUAGCCCCAUUUAUUAAUUAUUAAUAUGGAGUUUCUCAUAUACCCAAUGAAAUUUCAUUUCCAACCGAUAUACGCACUAUUGGGGUCCACACAACAAUUGUUGCUGACAAACCACAGUUUUAUAACUUAUUAUGGUGAACUAGUCACGUUAACAUGUAUUUAAUUUCUAACACGUACGUAUCUGAUACCUUAUUGUUUUGCGACUCGAGAGUCUUGAGUCUUAACGCUGAAAGAGUAAAAUUUGUUUUAGAAAUUUUGCGUGAGAAAGAACAAUGUAUGAAUUCCAAUCAACCGAGUGUGACUUUCCUCAACAAAGAUUUGCUUAGCAAUUUUGGUGGUGCAAUAAAUUGUCCUUUAUAAUUACUUGAAUCAUUUAUAAUACGCUAAAUAUAAAAAAUCGCACUAUCAAUAUUUACUUUACACUUUACUCUCUUAUCUUUUAAAACCUUCUAUUUUACUCCUUUGAAAUUUAAAAUUACUAGCAACUUUAAACCCCCGUGCAAUACACGGAUUUAAUUUAUCUUUUAAUUACAUUUUUUAAUAUAAUAUAAUUAAUGUUUUUACAUAUUAAGUUUUUUCUAGUAUAUUUUUAUUAUAAUUUUUUAUAUAAUAUAUAUUAAUUUUUUACAUAUUAAACUUUUAUGGGCAAUUCAAUAAAUAAUCCACUUAUUUUGGGCUUCUUGCAAAACCCGGGUCACCUUUUUCGUUUUUCAGAUUCGGUCCCACUUUUUCAAGCAAACUGACCAAAAUACCCUUUUACUUUUUCUCUUUUCCUCUCUCUCUCUCCUCUUUCGUUUCUCUCGUUUCUUUUUUUCUCGCCGGCAGAGCGGAGCGGAAACGGUCCGUCUCGACUCUUACCUUCAUUUCCCUAGCCUCGCCUCGCCUCGCCUCGCCCUCGCCCCUUGCCCUCCGUCCACGCACCCCCCACCUUCCCCUCGCCAACAACCCCGCAACGGCCGCCACCACACUUUUUUUUUUUUUUUGGUUUUUUCUUUCUUUUCCUUUUCUUCUCCGAACUCUUCUCCUACCGUCUCCGACGGACCGAUGCUCUCUCCGUCCCUUCUGUCUUGCCGCCCUUCUCAUCUCUCCUCUCCCUCAUUCUCUGCCGCUCCGACGACGAUGAAUCUUCGCCGCACGACGUCGACCCACGUGGAGGUACUGCGGCGCUACAGGGCUAGGACGGGGGUCUUAGCGGUGUCGUCGCCGGCACCGUGGCUGUUGCAGAGAAGGUGAGAAAAAAAAAAUUAUAGAAAAACAGAAAAAAAAUAAGAUAAAAAAUUUAUAAAAAAGAUGAACAUCAAAUUGUAUCCGUUAACUGCAAAAAAAAUUAUAAGUUGCACUAUUUAAGAUGUAAACUGCAGCUUUAAGGAUGAACAACUACACUCUUUAAAACCGAAAUUACACUCUUUGAGAAAUGAUUUACACUGUUUCCUCUUCUUAUUACACUCUUUCAAGAUGUAAACUGCUCGAUUAAGAUGUGAAAAGUUACACUCUUAAACAAAAGUUGCACUGUUCUCCUCUUGUUGCACCAUUUCUACUCUUGUUACACUAUUUUUUUAUCUUAAACUGCACCCUUUUAAGAGAUAUUUAUAAUUGUUUUCUCCUCUUGUUGCACCAAUUUUGUGUAAUAUAGAGAGGAGAAAUAGUCCAAGAGGAGAAACAGUGCAAGAAGAGAGAAACUGCACUGUUUUAAGAGAUAUUAUACUAACUGUUUCCCUCUUGUUUCACCAUUUUUGGUGUAAAAAAUAGGAGAAAAUAGUGCAACAAGAGGAGAAACUGGCACUGUUUUAAGAGAUAAUAUCUACUGUUUCCUUCUCUGUUGCACCUGUUCUUCUCUUGUUCACCCAUUUCUGUGUAAACAAUAGGAGAAAUAGUGCAACAAGAGGAGAAAAAAUGCAAUAAGAGGAGAAACUGCACCCUUUUAAGAGAUAUUUUUAUACUGUUUCUCCCCUUGUUGCACUUGUUUUUCUUCUCUGUUGCACGCAUUUGCUGGUUGUAAAUAACGCAGGAGAAUAGUGCAAUAAACAGUGAGGAAACAGUGCAACAAGAGGAGAAACAGUAUAAUAGUCACUUAAAAGCAUGCAGUUUAAGAUAAAAAUCAGUAUACAUUUUUUUUUCGUUAAAAGAGAGUAUAAUGUUUUAUCUUAAAGGCAGCAGUGUUAUAAUCAUAAAUAGUGCAACCUCUAUUAUCACAUUCUUUUUGUAAAUUAACGAUGUAAUUUCAUUCUUCAUUCUUCUUUUUAAUUAAUUUUUUAGUCAUUAUUUCUUUUUUUCUGUUUUUUUCUAUAAUUUUUUUGUCACCUUCUCCUGCCAACCAGCUAGGCGCCGGUGACGGCGCCGGUGACGGACGCUGUAGGAACCCUCCGAGUCCUGUAGCGCCGCAGUGACCUCUACGGUGUCGACGUCGGCGCCGGCGAAGAAAACGUCGUCGGAGGCGGCCAGAAAAUGCAGGGAGAGGGAGAGAUGCAAAAGGGCGGGAAGGGCGAGAGUGCGUCUCGUCGUCGGAGACGGUGGAAAGAUCGGAGAUAGAAAAGAAAAGAAAAAAAGCAAAGAAAAAAAAAGUCGCGGCGGCGCAUUAACGGGUAGCUGAGGAAGGGGGGUGCAUGGACGAGGGGCAAGGGCCGAGGGCGAGAGCAUGAGCGUGAGAGCCGAGACGGACCGUUUCUGCCUCCCGUCCGCCUUUGCUCCGCCUCCGCUCUACCGCGAGAAAAAAAAAAAGAACGAGAGAAACGAAAAAGGAGAAGAGAAAAGGGAAAAGAAAAGUAUAAAAGGGUAUUUUGGUCAGUUUGCUGAAAAAAUGGACCGAAUCUGCAAAAACGAAAAGGUGGCCCGGUUUUGCAAAAGCCCAAAAUAAGUAGAUUUUUUUAUGCAAAUUGGCCAACUUUUAUUAGAAAAAUUAUUGAAUCAAAUUAAAAUAAAUACUAUCAUGAUAUACUAAUAGAUUGUAAAUAAAUAAUUUAAAAUGAAAAAUUUAAAAUGAAAAAGUAAAAAGGUUCAAAUCCAUUAAAAAUUUAACAUAAUUAUUAUUUAUAUAUUUUUUAUACACAAUAUUGAAAUGGCAAAGAAAAUAAUUUUAUUUCAAAUUCUUAAUGACUAAUUCUGUAAAGUAUAUUUUUUAGAAGGAUUUAAAGUGACUAAAUUUGAAAAAGUAAUUUUUUUAGAACUUCGUGAAGCGAUGAUACAUAUUAUGAUUCUUUUAAACUAAAAAUAUUAUUAUUGUGAAUAAUUAGUCAUGUAUGUAUAUCGAUUAUUUUCAACUAAAUCAUCAAAAUUUAAAUAGAAAUAUCAAACAUACCUCCCAAAGUAAUUAUUGAGCAUUUCUUGCGAUAGGAGCAAAUAUUUAUGCGUUCCGAAAUUUUCAAUACUAUGACGAAGUCCAGAAGCUACUUGGUAUGUAUCCUGAAAAAAAAAGGAAGAUAAUAUUAUACAUAUUAAACAGACCAAAUCAUUAAACGUAAUUAUUUUGAUAUUUGAAAUAAACUUACAUUUUGUAGAAAGAUUGUGCAUAAAGAUGGAAAUAAACUUAUAUUUUGUAGAAAGAUUGUGCAAAAGAUGGAAAAUAAGUUUGCCUCCAUCUGUCAUCACAUAUGGAUAAUAACAUUGAGAAAAUAAUGGCAUUUUCUUGUAAUAAAUCAAUAAAUUAUAAUUUUAAGAUAAAAAAUUUGUAGCUAAACUAAUAAAUAGUUGAAUAGCCUCAUCAAAAAGAAGAGAACAACAAAUAAGAACAAAAAUAACUAUGUCAGUUAAGAAAUAAAAAUAAUUAUUACUUUUAUUAUUUUAAUAUUUAAAAAUAAGUAAGAGCAUAUAAUAAAAAUAUAUAUAAAAAAGAAGACCAAAUUUUACAAUAUCAAAAUAAUUUGGUAUGUAUGGUUAUGAUUUCUUCUAAUUAUUUAAAUAUUUGUAUAAUAAUUUAAUUAAAAUAGUUGUAUAAAUAAAUAAAUAUAUAUAUAUAUAUAUAUAUAAUCCAAAAAAUUAAAUAAAAUUAAAACAAACACCUGCGAUUUUCACGCCGCCUCCGCCUCUUUUCUAUGACGCGUCCCGCUCGCAUCAUCCUGCAAUGGGUAAAAGUAAAACGCGCGAGAGAUCGUUAGAAACCUAAACCCCAAAGAGAAAUAGAGAGAGAACUAUAAAAGUUAGCUUCGCACUAUUACCAUUUAUUUCAUCAGUUUUAUGUAUACACUAUAUUGUAUAGCUGAGUAACUAUUGAUAUAUAUAUCCAUUUUACUUUCUAGAAAUGACAAAAAAAAAAAAAAAGUUAAUUAGUAAUUAGUAAGGGAUCAUUUCUACAAGUUUACUUCAUAUGAGAAAAAAUAAAAAAACAAACAUUCUUAUGCAUUCCUACUAUUUCUAAGAAUAUAAUAGACAAUUGGUAAGUUAUUCGGCUGUAAUGCUAAAUUAUAUAUGAAAUACUAUCAGCGGGAUAACGAUAAUGGAUUAAGUGCUACAACUUUAAAUUUUAAAAGGACGAAGAAAUGAGAUAAAAUGCAAAAAUGAAUAUUUAUAUAGAAUUUUUUUGCAUUUUUGCCUUUUUAAUUUGUUAAAAUGGUAUCACAAAAAUUGGUUUUCAAAACUGUUAUAUUUGGUUUAGAUUUGUAGUUAUCUAAAUUGGAGUUAAAUCCUAAUCUAAUUGGGAUUUGAUAUAAUUUAGGUUUAAUUGGCAUAUAUGGAUUAUGAGUCGGAAUCUAAUUUCUAAUUGAAUUAGAAUUAGACUCUACUUAGGAGACAUGUAUUAUAAAUACAUGCUGCGGUCAAAUUAAUCACCGCAACCAAAUUAAGAUGCCACGUUCUAAUUAAGCAAGCAAUACAUGUUGGUUUCGGACGAUCAAAUUAAGAGCCAUGCACUAAUUAAUUAAGCCUCUUGGAGGGUACGUACGGAUGCUGUGGAGUCGUGUUAACUUGGUGUUUCGGUGGCUGCAGCAUCAUGAGCCGAGAGAAAAGUUGGAGCUCUAAUUAAUUAAGUGAGCAUCUAAGGAGCCGUAUGCACUAAUUAAGAUCAAGUUUUGGACUCGUUUUGACGGGUGCGGAUUUCGGCGUUUCGGAUCUAAUUAAGUUUUGGUUCUUUUGAGAGAUUUUCUUUGUACUCCGCCUUUUCGACAUUAAUAAAGUAUUUGCUCCGUCUUCGCCCGUGGACGUAGGCCGUUGAUCGAACCACAUAAUUAUCGGUGUGUUCUUUCUUUAUUUUUUUUUUUCUUGCAUUAAAUUAUUUUCGGAUCUAUUUUUCGUCGUUCCGAUUUUAACAAAAACAUACAACAAACAAUGCUCACAUGAAUCUUGUAUCUGCAGGAGAUCGUUCUCUAAACUAGGAGUUUGAUGACAUGAAUGGAGACAACAGAUAAAAAUAAAAUCAGCAGACUUGACCCAAUCAUUUAAGAUAAAGAAUAUACAAAACAUAAUUGUCCCAUAUUUGAGAGGAAAUUAAUUAAAAUGUUUAGCAUACCCAGCAUCGGAAACACUUAUUAAUUUCGGUCUGAUUAGGCUAAGUGCUCGUGAUAGAAAUGAACGAAGGUCUGGCAGUAGAUCUGAGUCCAAUGAUGUAAAAGCCAAGUCGAACAGGCUGGUUCAACCAGUCUAACCACGAUUCAGUCUAUAAAACAGUUUGGUUCAACCUUUUGAAACGGAAAUGUCAAAAAAUCGCUUUAAACCAUUCGAGUUGGUGAUUCAACAUCGAACCAGUAAACCGGUCCGGUUUGAUUUCAAACCGACUAGAAUUUUUUUGAUCAAGUCAUAUUAAAAUACAAUGGCAUAAAAUCAACUUAGCUAAUUUUAUUUUUCAUUAGCACAAAUUAGUCUUAUAAAAAGUGAGACUUGAAAAAUUAUAUCUACUUAGUUUAGUUUAAAAAUCAAUAAUAUUUUAUAAUUAAGUACUACAAUACUAGAAUAAUAAUAUAUGUAUAUUUUUCUAUACAAUAAAAUUAAAAAUAUUAAAUAUAUGACGCCAUGCUUAUGUCACUAGUUCAAUUAAUGGGUCACCCACUGGUUGAAUCUAGGGGUGGAAACGAGCCGAGCUCGAGCGAGCUUACCUCGGCUCAAAUUCGACUUAAAAUUAAUUUUGAGCCUAAAUUUAAGCUCAAGCUUGGAUUGAAAUUAAUUUGAGCCGAGCUCAAGCGAGCCUAAUUUCAAGUCGAGCGAGCUCGAGCUCUAAACGAGCCGCUUGAAAUUCUCACUUAUGCGAUCAAUAGUUUAAUUUGUAUAGAACAUUAUCUAUAAUUUGAUACAAAAAUAUAUCCUAAUAUUUCAAAAUACAAAUAAUUAUAUAAAAUAUAGUAUUAUAAUAUAAACAAAAAAUAAUUUAUGAGUUGAAUAUCUAAUCUUUUCAGCCUCACAUGUCUUUUCUUCGCCUUCAAUCUCUAUAUUAUUUUAUUUUUAUUUAUGCAGUCAAAAAUAAAUAAAUUAUAUAGAUAAAUAUUGGAUUAAACUAUCCAAUCAUAUAUAACUAAAAUUAAAAUUUUAUAUGAAUAAUAAUUUUUUACUUUAAAAAUAUUUUUGAUAUAUUUUCUCAAGCAUACAAUUAAUAGUAAGGUAAGCAACGGCGGGCAUAUGAUGUUACUUGAUAACUUAGAGGGCUUCCGGCUUGGCCACUUACGUGAGAGACAGAAAAAGGAAAGAGAGAAACUUAUUGAAAAUUUAGAGCUCUAUGAAAGAAAAAAAGAAAGAAAGAAAAAAUAUAUAAAUUUAGUAAUUUUGCUUUUUUAUUUGUCUAUUGGAUUUAUUUUUAUGGGCCAACAAUAUUGCCCAAUUUUAACUAAUAGAUUAUCACUAAGCCUAUAUAUAAUUAAAAUAUAUCAUACUUUAUAUAUUUUUAAUAUAUAUAUAUAUAGUGUAGCUAUCGAAAAUAUAGAGGAUUUGAUGUUUUUGAAUUUUUGACCCUUUGAUUAAAAAUUGUAUGGUUAGGAUGAUUGCGGUCUCCCCUAGGAUUAAAUAAUAUUCUUAGGAUUGAAUGGUCCCUAUAAGGUAAUAAUAAUAUUAAUCCAAAGAUAAAAAAAGAUUAAAGGGAUUGAUCUAAGAAUCAAAAAAUCGAAAGCAACAUAUCUCUAUAUUUUCGAGCCUAAUUCGAACGAGCCGAGUAAUACUCAAGCUUGGCUUGAAAUGAAUUUCGAGCCUUUUUUUUUGUUCAAGCUCGGCUCAUUUAAUUUCGAGUCGAGCUCGAGCGAGCCAAAUAUCGAGUCGAACGCGAGUCGAACGUGAGCUGGCUUGCUCAUUUGCCAGCCCUAGUUGAAUCAGUGAGUCGACCCGGUAACAUUUCCAGAUCGCUGUACGAUCCAAUUUUUAAAAUUGGAUUUGACCAUAACUAAAUCGAUACACUCGACCGGGCCUGGGCUUUUAUCUCUUUUAUUAACUUGAUGUUUCUUAUUUGAUCCAGCCCAGCCCAAUCACUUUGAGUCAGAAGAAGCUGAGUAUAAAAAGGUUUAUGUAGCUUAGAGGCUAUUAGGCCUAAAUUCUGAAAAAGUGAUUUUGGCGAAAUUGAUUUUGAUUUAGAGAAUUGAUUUUGGCCAUAAGUUGUAUGGCGUUUUGCUGAGUCUAGCAAGAGAACAUUUUUUUCGAAGUGAUUUUAUAAAACUGCUUGGCAUAAUUUUUUUGCUUACAUGUUUUAUUUUAAAAUUUGAAUUCAAAACUUGAAUUUGGACUUUAAAAAUUUAAAAUUGGAAUCAAAAUUAAAAAUCUAAAUCUAAAUUUAAAUUAUAAAAAUUUAAAAAAUUAAUACUUAAUAUUGAAAAUUUUAAUUUUGAAACUUAAAAUUUAAAAUUGAAAUUUUGAAUUUUGAAGUUUAAAAGUUAAAUUUUAAGACUUCAAAUUUUAAACUUAAAAAUGAAAUUUUAAGACUUACAAUUCAAAAUUUCGGAUUUUAGAAAUGUGAAACUUUUUAAUUUAAAUUCUAAAUUUAAAAUAUGAAAUUUGAAAUUUAAAUUUAUACUUUCAAAAUUUAAAGUCCGAGUCACCCAGUCGUGUCACGUGUGUCCUACCACGAGUUAAAUCAAACUCACCAACUCUCCGGAUUCUAUACUAACUAACUCGGGCACCCAGACCUGCCUCCAAAUCCAAAACUAAGACCCACCAAUUCUAAGCACCCUAAACAAGUUCUGGGCAUCCAGAAGUAUAGCAAAGUCGUAGGUUGGUUGAGUCUUAAGUCUAAGGAGUUCGUUUCGCAUCUAUUUUGUAUCAAAACAGCUCCAACGCAGUCCAGCACUUCCCGGGCAUGCUGAGUAUCAACUUUCACUACAACUUUACGUCUUUGUCAAGAUCCAGUAUACUACAGUGUAGAUAUGGAUCUCGUCCUAGGUCGCUUACAGGGAGCCAUUGCUAUCCUACAACACCACAAUGUCAACAACAAUUUAGUCUAAGUGUUCCACUUAAACCCUCUAGUGCCACAUAGGAAAAGAAAGUAGACCCAAUUCAACAAUAGUCCUUAAUGGACACUCCUUAUUCCCGACAUCAUAUUGUUCGCCGCGAACGUGAUUAUCCAAAUAACGAAAGAAAAUACCUCACUCGAUCAAUCCCCAACAUUCUAUUAGGAACACCAUAAGACCCAAUUAAUUAUUGACUUUCACCGUAGUUCACACUCACUCGAGUUCCUAAGUCCUUAGGUAUCGUUUGGUUCAAGGAUAUGCAAAAAGUGGCUAUUCCAGGAAUAGGUAUAAAUUGAGGUAUAAGCGGAGAUUAGAUCAAUUUUACGUUUGGAUGAAAAUUGAGUUAUUCCUGAGAAUAAAAAAAUAGCGUUUGGUUAAGUAAGAUGGAAUAAGAAAAAUAGUGGAUUUUAUAAAUAAAAAACAAUCAUAUUAUCCUUUUAUUAUAUUUGAAUUUAAAUUUUUAAAUUCAAAAUUUAAAAUUUUAACUUUUAAAAUUUUUAAAAUUUGAAAUUAAAAUUUAAAUUUUAAACUUCAAAUUUUAAAUAUCAAAUUUUAAAUUUAAGAUCAAAUUUAAAUUUGAAAGAUAUAAAAUAUCAAAUUUAAAAUUUAAAACUUAAAAAUAUCAAAUUUAAAAUUAAAAAAUCAAAAAUAUCAAAUUUAAAAUUUAAACUUUAAAAUUUUGAGUAUUAUAAAUUUUAAAACAUUUAAAUUUUAAAAUAAGAAUAGGGGUGGAACAAUUAAUAAAAAUAAUUUAUUAUAAUAAAUUAUAAAAUUUUUUAAAAUCUACUUAACUAAUUAUUAAAAAGAAUUUAUUAUAAUAUUUAAAUAUAAUUUACUAUAAAUUUUAUUAUAAUAUUUAAAUAUAAAUAAUAAUUAUUAAUAUAGUACAAUUGAUAAUUUUAUAAUAAAAAAAUGUAUUAUAAUAUAUAAUUUUAAAAAAUUUUUUAAUUUUUAAAUUUUUAAAUUUUUAAAAUAAGAAUAGGGGUGGGAACAAUUAAUAAAAACUAUUUAUUAUAAUAAAUUUAUAAAUUUUUUUAAAAUUCUACUUAAACUUAAAUUUAAUAAAAAGAAUUUAUUAUAAUAUUUAAAUAUAAUUUAUUAUAAAUUUUAUUAUAAUAUUUAAAUAUAAAUAAUAUGUAUUAAUCUAGUACAAUUAAUAAUUUUAUAAUAAAAAUAAUGUAUUAUAAUAUAUAACAUAUUAUAUUUAUAUAAUUUAGUUUUAAUUCAAUUUAUAAUUUUAAUUAAGUUUGAAAUUAAGCAUUAGAAUAGUGCUAUUCCACCAAAAUGGUGAAAUAGCAAAUCCCUUGCUAUUCCGAGAUAACCGGGAAUAGCAAGGUUUGAUCGGAAUAAAAUAUCCCGGCCAAAUUUCACCCCGUUUGGCGGAAUAGCGGGGAUAACUUUUGUUACUCCGCUUAUCCCCCCAACCAAACGGGGCCUUAGAGUCAUCCUACGAUUUUCACUAAAAUCAUAUUAGAAAUAUUUUUCUAGGCUCUGCUAGCAAAAUAGUCAUCCUUUCUGGACUUUAACCAAUUUAUUAGCUUUGUUUUCUUUCAUUUACACAACUCAUGAAGAGUUGAAGGAAAUUAGACUUCUCUCCAAUCAGUAGGCACAAGGGGUUGAGGGAGAUCUGACUUCCCCAAGUACGACAUUGGAAGUCGAGAGGAUCAGACUUUUCUUUUAUGACACUUUCGGAAGGUCGCAACAUAUUUUAUCACUUCACCCUAAGUUCAUGACUUUUAGGAUUAUCCAUAAGAUCAAUUCCAUGUUCUCAUUCUUUAGUUCAAGUUUUGCCAAGUGUUCAUAUGCCACUAUAUUCGCAGUUUAUGUUUUAAUCUAAGUUAUAUGCCACUCUUGUUUUCUAUGUUCCAAGGUUCACAAAUAACUACAUGCACAUGUCAAGUAUUCUCUUUUCACAUGAUAAUGGGCUAAAACCCAAUUUUUCUAGGUCAAAUACUCACAUGCUAAUUUUACCCAUUACAUUUUCUAGAAUGCAACUAAAAUACAUUUUAACAUACACAUUACUCAUAAUACACAGAUGCAACUAAAGAAAGUUUUAAACAAAAGGGAUAUCAAACCUAUUUUAGUGAUAUUCUCUAUCUCGGUUCAAAUCUCUCUAUGAGAUGACUCUUGAUUUCCAGAAAACUCUAAAGAAAAUUUCUAAAAAGGGUUCUAACGAAGUUAAAACCUCAAAUUCCUCAUUUGGUAAAAACCACCAAAAUAAACUCUCAAAUUCUAAUUCACCUCUUCUCUUUCUAGCAAGAGAAACGUGGGUGAAUGGAACUCCUACGUACUCCCUCCAAGAGCUUCCUCUUGAUGUCUUUGACCUUCCCCAAGCUCUCAAGGAGAUGGAUCUCCAAGCUCCGAAAAAGAAGGAUUUAGGGCUCUAUUUCUUCUAGAGGGAGGAAGAAGAAAGAGAGUGUGUAAGAAAAGAUAAGGAGAGAAAAUAGGGUUUUUUCGGUGAAAAGCACUUUUUAUAGAAUUCUACAAUAGUAUAUAAACCACCUAACGUUUCUUGUUUGCAACUAAACAAAACUCUUUCUUUGCGCCAGGUUUUGAGCACCUUUGUCGGGACUUAGCAAAAUUGCUAUGCAAUCUGAGUCCUUGGCCCAACUCUGCUAGCGAAAACGGGUUGAAUCAGGUUGUCAAGAAAACCCAAACCCAACCCACUAUUGGGAAGUGAAGGGUUUUGUAACUUCUCCCAUCAAUGAUGGAAGCUCAAAUGUUAUAAAACUACCAAGAGUUAAUAGGGUGACUCUUAAACUUUUGGUUAUUAUGAGGGCUUAUUAUUGUAUGAGUUAGUGGGUGAGUGUGUCGCUUGAUUUAUUGUAUCCAUAGGCCUAUAAAUAGUAGGGUUUGGCUAAGGCCAAAACACAUAAGAGGAAGUGUGUAUGUGUGUUGUAAUCUAUUUUUCUAAGUAGCGGGGUACUUAGUUUUUUUGAGUGAACCUCUGCCUCUCUCUCUCUCUCUCAUUCACUUUGCAUAUUUAGUCGUAAAACGCGAAGGUCCGGGCUAGCAACAGGGAUGAAGGCUUGCCCAUCUUCGACCAGGAAGGCGGGCGCCGCACGGGCUUUGCGAACAAAAACACUAAGGCCGUGACAACCCGCUCAAACUUUUGGGUACUCGGAAGCUCAAGGCUUCACUGUGCAGUUAUGUAGCUAUGCCCAGGAGGAGUUCCAGGCACCAACCCAAUUUUUAUGGUCCACAAUUUAGGCGCUGCAGGGGAUUUCGGUCGCUUGAAUAAUUAACGUGUCGCACAGUCAGUUCUCUCGAGUUGAGCAUCCAAAAGCUAUUUAGACACCCACAUGAGACCACCAGAAAGACGAUCUGGGCGACUGCAAGGGCAUUCAGAUGCUUGAGUAUUUAAUCUUGUGCGCACCCAAGUUCUCGGGUUGAGAGUCCAAAAGAGGGUCCGAACGCCCUCUCUAAUGUAUUGAAACAUUUUCAAGCACCCGCAGGAUAUUCUCAACGUCCGAAAGUGACUUUCUCGCCAACCUCGCAUCCGGAUGAUUCGAGUGCUGAGACAUGUGGUCUAAAACCAUUUUGGGCAUUUGAAUUCUUGUUCCGGAGAUCCGAAAAGUAUGGAACUCAGAUUUUCUUUCUUUCAGAACUCUGUUUUGAUCCGAAUUGAUUUCAAUUCGAUCCAAACUUAGGCGAGACAUCUUUAAACCCAUUUUAAUCAUAUCCAGUAUAACUUAAUUUGCAAUUUGUCAAUUUAGCUAAAAUUCGGUACAUUAUAGUACCUUAGGCCCAUUUGAUUUUUUGAGCCAUUUAAUGUUAUUAUAUAUAAAGGAAUUGCGACUGAAAUUAAUUUUUUUUUUAGUAAAACAGCAAAAAAUAUAUUUUAACUGGCUCAAUGUGCAUAACAUGAUAUUAUUUAUAAAAUACAUGCUGUAUUUUUUAAUUUAAUUUUCUCAUCACCAUAUAUAAUAUAAUCUGUCCGCGAUCCGAAAGGGAGUCUUGAUCCAUCAGAUGACAAACAAGAUAAAAAUUUAGUCACGGGAUACGCUUCUAACUUCGUAGAUUAAUCGAUCGAUGGUUCCUUUGACAAUGUCAUUAGUGAUAUUAGAGCUAUGUCUUAAUUUAACUUCACUGUUGUAUUUCCCAUAAUUAAUCAAGCCAAAAGAGAAAAAAAAAAAAAAAUGUCCCAUGCGCAUUUGUGUAAGGACAAUCAGAUUAAAUAAUUGUCACAACUUAGUAGUUCAUUUCCUUUCCAAAAAUGUCACGCCAUCACCAGCCUAAUAUAAUUUUGAGAAUAGGGAAUAUAUCUUACAGUAUUGACUUGGUGAUAAACUUGUUUUGUUUCUCAUUGUUAGGAUUCGUCCAUAUUGAGACUUAUCUAAAAUAUUUCUAAUCCAUAUAGGAUAAAAAAUAAAUAUUUAUAAUUAUCUGUUAUAUUGCUAGUCCACUUGGGAUAAAAAAUAAAUCUAACAGAUAAAUUCUAAUCUGUUUAAAUCUUUAUCUAUGUGAGAUUUAGUUAGAAUAUAAUUAGAAUUAAUAUCUUCCUUAUGGCCUAUAAAUACAUGAGGUAUCAACCAUAUACGAUAUAAGAAAGACAAAUAAAAAAAAGGAAUCAUCUCUCCACAAAAACUUCUCUCUUGGGUUUGCUCUACGGCACCAUCAUAAAUUCUAGGGAUUUGGGCGGUGUGCAGCGAUCGACUCUAGUAGCCGGAUUGCAACGAGUAAGAACAACGUGCAACAAACUAGAGCCGGAUUGCAACGAGUAAGAACAACGUGCAACAAAUUGAGACAGGACGUUGGUGGAUCAACGAGUUCGUAAAACAAGACGAGAUCAGAUCCUGAUAAUCACAACAUUAAUUCCGCACCAUAAAGAGGUAUAUAAAAAUCUAUGUGAUAUUUGUAACGAUUGAUUUUUGGGUAUUUAAUUAAUUUUAUCCAACAGGUAUCAGAGCUUGCGGGAUCUGCCCGCUCUGGGCUUGGAAGGAUCGCCAGUGCAGGGCCUGCAGGGGCCCGCAUACACAGGGCCUGUGGCCUUGUGUUGCCGCCCGCGCUGGGCUUGCUGGGCGGCCCGCCCUGGAUGGACCUGCGGGCUUCCUGGCUAGCCCCCUCGCACCAAGCUUUGUGGACUGGGCCUGUAAGGCUCUCUAAGUCCACGUCAUAUUGGCCCAAGCCGACCUCAACCCGUGGGCUUGCAUGAUUUUAUAAAAGAGAAUUAUAUAUAUAUAUAUAUAUAUAGAAGUAAUAUAAUAUAAUAGAUUCUUAUCCAUCACCAACUAACAAAGUUCCUUAAUGACAAAUCUAUGCAUCAUCUUUCAUUUAACAUAUAUGCAUAUGAUAUGCAAUCGUUCAAUUAUUAUAUAUUGUUUCUUGCUAUGAUACAUGUGAUGAUAUUUUUCAAGUUGCAAUGUGUUAUUACAUAAUGUUCAUUAUUUAUUUUGUGACGUGGAUUUAUUCUUAAUUAAUUUGAUAUAUUAUUUUUAUCUGUAUUGGAUGAGAUGAUUAUUAGUCUUUUUCAAAAGUGAAAUUUUCGAUUUGAAGAUGCAGUGAGAAAUUUUAUUAUCAAAUUAGAUUAAGAAUAAUAUUGUGGAUAUUUGUGCCUAAUUUAAAAUUAUGUGCAUUAUUGUAGUGAUAAAUGGCUUCCAAAAAUUUUUCUAUCGCGGAUUCGUUAAAUCAAAAUAAGCUUGAUGGAGCAAAUUAUAACAUGUGGCAUAGAAAAAUUCAAUAUCUCCUUAAUGAGAAAGGGAUACUUAGCCAUUUAACCAACAGUAUGUUUCAGCCUGAAGAAGGCACGACGGCUCAGCACCGUCGCGAUUUGCAAGCCUAUAACGAGUGGCUUGAGAAAGAUCGAAGUGCACAAUAUACCAUGUUGAGUUGUAUGCACGAUGAUUUGAUCAAAGAAUUUGAGAAUUAUGAGACUGCUAAAAAUAUGUGGGAGCAGCUCAAAGUGAAAUACGGGGGCACAUCGACUACAAGACUUCGUGCCUUGAAUCUCAAAUUCAAUCAAUACUUGUUGGACCCGAAGCAUUCUAUGGCAGAGCACUUAAGGGUGAUGUCUGCUAUGAUAAGAGGACUUAAAGCAGCCGGUUGUGAGCUCACUGAUGAACAGCAGGUUCAAUCAGUUAUAAGAUCCUUACCAGAUUCAUCUUGGGAUCAAAUCAAGGUUGUGCUAACUCAUAAUGAAGGUAUCAAGACCUUCAACGAUGUAACUCGACAUCUUGAGUUGGAAGCGGAGCGCAGAGAGGCGAACCGUGCCAAUGCACUCGUUGCCCACGGUGGACAGUGCAGAGGCAAGUGGCCUAAGCACAAGCGCCGAAAUGGAGAAAAUAAAUAUGCAAAAACUGGAAACUGCGCGCCGAAUGAGGGCAGAAUUGAGAAGCGCCGCAAAGGCAGGCGCGGAAAGAAAAAUUUAAAUAAAGUGAAAUGCUAGAACUGUGGAAACAUGGGACACUUCGCUCGUGAUUGCACUGAGCUGAAGAAGGUAAAUCCCAAUCCUGACUCUCUUAUUUAUGUAUGCUUGCACGUUUUUGUUGCUCACGCUUUCUCUGAUUGGAUUGUAGACACAGGAGCAACAAAGCAUGUAACGAGAGAUCGAGCAGGAUAUGUGGAUUAUCGUUGGGUGUCUGCUAGUAGCCAUUAUGUCAUGAUGGAAAACGGCAGUGAGGAAGAAGUCCUUGGAAUUGGCACAUACCAACUUAGAUUGCGCAAUGGUCGUUAUUUGAUAUUACAUGAUGUGCUGUAUGCACCGAACAUCCGAUGUAAUCUACUAUCAGUUUUAGCGUUACUUAGAUUAGGUUUUUCUUUUCAAUUUACGGAUACUCAGUUAGCUAUUUAUUUGGGCAAGGACUUUUAUGGUAAUAGUUGUUUAAAGAAUGAUUUCUUUGUCUUAGAUUUGGACUUGGAUUUUAUUAAUCAUAACAAUAAUUCUACUUUAUUAGUUUCUUCUGAUAUUGUAUCUGAUUCUAUCAAAUGGCAUGCGAGAUUGGGUCACAUUGGACAAGAAAGAAUGGCUCGACUAGCUAGAGAAGGCCUGUUGGGGUCACUCGCUAAGCUUAGCCUACCUCCUUGUGAACCAUGUUUAGUAGGAAAAGCCUGCAAAAAGCCUUUUGGUAAGGCGCGUAGAGUAACUCAUCCAUUGGAGCUAGUUCAUUCAGACAUAUGCGGACCUAUGAAUGUGAGAGCACGUCAUGGCGCGUACUAUUUCCUCACUUUCAUUGAUGACUACUCCCGUUAUAGUUCGGUAUAUCUGUUGUCUCACCGUUUAGAAGCUUUAGAUUAUUUUAAACGCUUCUUAGUGGAGGUUGAGAACCAAACAGAAAGAACUCUAAAAGUUCUACGUACUGAUAGAGGACGAGAGUAUUUAUCAGACCAGUUCAGGGAACUAUGUGAGGAAAAGGGAAUACGCAGAUAGUUAACUAUUUCCGGUACUCCGCAACAAAAUGGUGUUGCAGAGAGGAGGAAUAGGACACUUUUGGAAAUGGUUAGGUCAAUGAUGGCGUAAGCCAACCUCCCAAUUAGUUUUUGGGGUGAUGCAUUAUUGACUGCUGCCUAUAUACUUAACCGAGUGUCCUCUAAGUCAGUUCCUUCAACUCUCUAUGAGUUAUGACAUGGAAUAAAGCCAAAUUUGGAAGGCUUACGACCAUGGGGAUCGGCAGGAUAUGUGCAUAAUACUUCCCAUAAAUAUGAAAAGUUAGGCCCUAGAGCAAAUAAACAAAUUUUUAUUAGAUAUUCUGAUUGCUCAAAGGCUAUGUGAUGUAUGGCAAGCAUCCAGAUGGAGGAAUGAUUGAGAUAGAGUCGCGCGAUGUGGAUUUUCUUGAGAAUAAUUUUUCAGACAUUGGUGAGAUUAAAAAGGAUCUUGCACUAUAUGAGUUGCAAGAACCUAAUGAAAAUGUCCCAUUGUUAGGCGAGAAUGAGGCACUGAGGCCACAUGAUGAUAUAACCCAAAACAGUGGGAGUGAUCCUAUAGUUAGUGGGAAUGUGCCGAUUGACCAUGGCUCACAAAGUCCAUCAUUACGAAGAAGUAAACGUGGAGGUGUUUCCCGUCGUCGAUUUGAGAUCGAAGGGGAAUCGUUCAUGUGUGCUUCUACGGAUGUUGAUGAGCCAGCUUCUUAUGCUGAAGCUAUAGUUCACCAGUUUGUGAUAAAUGGCUAGCUGCUAUGGAGGAUGAGAUGAGUUCUAUGGCUAAGAAUAAUGUGUGGGAGUUAGUUGAUCUUCCGUUUGGAUGAAAAACUAUUGGAAAUAAAUGGAUCUUUAAAAUAAAACGUAAAGCGGAUGGAUCAAUUGACAAAUAUAAGGCUCGACUAGUGGCUAAAGGAUACACCUAAAAGGAGGGAGUAGACUAUGAAGAGACAUUCUUCCCAGUGGUGAGGUUUGUCUUAAUUCACCUAAUUCUGGCUAUCGUCGCACAUUCAGAUUUGGAAUUGUUUCAAAUGGAUGUGAAGACUCCAUUUCUCAAUGGAGAACUAGACGAGGAGAUUUAUAUGAAUCAACCUCCUGGUUUUAUAGCCGAAGGACAAGAGUGCAAAGUCUGCCGCUUGAAACGUUCCAUUUACGGCUUGAAACAAUCGUCUAGGCAAUGGUAUCAACGUUUUCAUAGAGCAAUUAUAUCAAUAGGCUUUGUGAUGAUCGAAGAAGACCAUUGCGUGUACGUUAAAAGGGAAGAAAAAAAUUUUCUUAUUCUUUCACUAUAUGUAGACGAUAUCUUGUUAGCUGGAAAUAAUAUGGAGUUAAUAAUCACCACACAGAAGUGGUUGUCCUCUACUUUUGAGAUGAAGGAUAUGGGACAGGCGGAUUAUGUAUUGGGAGUCAAGAUCCAUAGGAAUUAAUCUCGAAAAUUCUUAAGUUUGUCUCAAGAGACUUACAUUAAAAGGAUUUUGGAGCGAUUCUGAAUGCAUAAUUCGAAACCCAUUGACACUCCAAUGGAAAAGGUCAUUAUCUUAGCCUUGAACAAUGCCCUAAAAGAGAAGAAAAGAGAAAGCAGAUGGAAAAAGUCCCAUAUGCGAGUGCAGUCGGCAGCUUGAUGUAUGCAAUGAUGUGUACUCGGCCGGACAUAUGUUUCGCUAGUCGUUAUCAGAGUAAUCCUGGAGCAGCACAUUGGCAUGAGUUGACUCUUAUCUUGUAAUUUUGCGAAUAAAUAUUUUUGACAUCCUUUUUCAUUCAUAAACAUGUUUAUUAAAUUUUAAAUUAGUGCACAAUAUCCUUGUGAGAAUGAAUGUCACCAGGCCUUUGAUCAGCCCUCUCACACGGGUGAUCGCCCUGUCACUAGAAGAGCGAGCAGGAUGAGACAAAUAAGAUCACAUAAAUGCAGUUAGUAAUGCAGGUGAUCCACUUUGCGCUAUAAGAGCUGGCGAGUGUUUAAAUCUUGAAUGUCGCCUUAGAUGAGCUAAGAUAGGACUGUACAAAGUCGACAGUAGAGAUGGUCCACGACUCUACUCGGUCUGUAUGAAGCCGAAUGUAAAAAAAACACCAUGUGGGUGAUUGUCUUGAGGUUUGUUGUGUUGAGUUACAACAAAACCGACAUUCGUAUGGUGUUUUGAGCGUGACAUGUCCUUAGAGGUAGCUCCACCAUAGCAUACGUUCAUACCGUAUGUGCAAGAUCGAUCACUAUGUUUUAGAGAGUGACGAAAUUGAUUCCCGUUUCAUCGUUGUGUGAGCUUUUGUACCCUUUGGGACUUAGAACCAUGUUAUGAAGUGGAUACUUGAUGAUGCUACUUUAGCAUGAUAUCCAAGGGCCAUGAUUGAUUCGGUCCAGCGGAACAUGUCUAGGAAAGCAGUCAAGUUGAAAUGGAUUGACAUGAGGCAUCUAAGGAAAAAUUAUUUGAUAAUACACCUAUGAUUUGUUACUCAUUGCCCGGGCGAUUAUGUUGAUAUUUGUUGUCAAUAUAAUCAUGAGAACAAAUACAUUAAUAAGAGAGAUCUAGUUUGCUCUAAGGGAUCAGAGAUGCUAUGAUCUGGUGUAGUUCAGUGAUUUGGGGUAUAGACGAGAUUUGGAGUUGUAGUGUUAUGUUAGUUCGGAUGGUGGCUUAAUAUAACACUCUUCACUUAUGAUUCUUCUCAUUAUUGAUCGCACCAACCAUUUCCCGUAUGAAGAGCAGAACGGGAUGAGAAUAUAUUUGGGAUAAGAAAGUAUGAAUAAGUACCAAGUGUGUACGAGUGGGAGAUGUUAGGAUUCGUCCACAUUGGGACUUAUCUAAAAUAUUUCUAAUCCAUAUGGGAUAAGAAAUAAAUAUUUAUAAUUAUUUGUUAUAUUCCUAGUCCACUUGGGAUAAAAAAUAAAUCUAACAGAUAAAUCCUAAUCUGUUUAAAUCUCUAUCUAUAUGAGAUUUAGUUAGAAUAUGAUUAGAAUUAAUAUCUUCUUUAUGGCCUAUAAAUACAUGAGGUAUCAACCAUAUACGAUAUAAGAAAGACAAAUAAAAAAAAGGAAUCAUCUCUCCACAAAAACUUCUCUCUUGGGUUCGCUCUAGGGCACCAUCAUAAACCCUAGGGAUUUGGGCGGUGUGCGGCGAUCGACUCUAGUAGCCGGAUUGCAACGAGUAAGAACAACGUGCAACAAAUUGAGACAGGACGUUGACGGAUCAACAAGUUCGUAAAACAAGACGAGAUCAGAUCCUGAUAAUCACAACAUUAAUUCUGCACCAUAAAGAGGUAUGUAAAAAUUUAUGUGAUGUUUGUGACGAUUGAUUUUUGGGUAUUUAAUUAAUUUUAUCCAACACUCAUAUUAAACACAAUGAUUAUCUCAGUCCACAUAUUGUGUGCACGCACACUAUAAUUGCAACCCAACUAAUUCUCAAUAGUUGAUAUAAUAAUUGAAUGUGAAAUUUAUGAUGUAGACAUGAUAAUCGGACUUAAUCAUUUGUGGCCUGUGGAUUUGGAUAAUACCUAGUUAAUCGAGCUGUGGGCUCACCGAUGUAUGAUCUUCUGCGAAGCUGAGAAGCGAUACGUCAGAGCGGUAUAUCAAAGUAGGUUGAUUAGCUGAAAAUAUGAGACGAGGUCUCGAUGAUGUCUCACGUCGCCGGGACUAAAAAUAGUCCCAUAUCGUAUGUGAAAUUCGUGAUCACUAGAUCAAAAUCAUCUUUACUGGAAUAUACAUAAGACUGGCUAGACUAGACAUGAUAUCGGGUUUAAUCAUUUUGAGCCAGUGGGUCUGGCCCAACUAUUACUGGGUUGAUAGUUUCCAAUUAAGCAAGUGAGAGGUCCCGCGAUGAAAUGAUCCUUGAGAAAUUAUAUUGGACAAAAAUAAAAAUUCUAGUCUCUGAAAUUUAUUAGUUCAAACUUUUAAAUAGGUUUAAAUCUCUUUAUAAUAGUAAAGUUUUAUUCAAUCCUUCUUAGUCAGCUCGGUAUGGGGACAUUCUAGUUAUGUCCAGUAUGUAAAGUUAUUUAUGUCGUGGUGCGUAUUAAUGGCACUUUAAUAAUUAAAUUUAUUUGACCUAUUAACUUGUUUACAAUUUUCGAUGGAUUCAAAUCCUUUACCGCUUACACCUCCAAUUUUUUUUUUCUUUGUUUUUUCUUUUAUGAAAUGAAAGCCUUUUCGCAUACUUAGCAUCUAAUUUCGAUACAAAUUUGUGGCCACAACAAACCAAAAUUCCCCACCCACACUACAAUAAAAGCGGUCUAUAGCGACACUUUUAAAUAUAGGUACAUGUCAAAAAAGUGCUGCUAGCUAAAAUUACUGACACUUUUAAAAAGUGUUGCUAUAUGUGGGGUCGCUAGGUAUAUAGUGACAGUUAAAGUGUGUCGCUAUAAUCUAAAAGAGUGCUGCACCAACACUUAUUUAAGCAUUUAGCAACCGCCGAGACUCUAUCUCGUUGGCUGCGGUGGCAGAGGAGGACGACAGGAAAGGCUCUUCGUCUAAAAUUUCAGUGGAUUGAGUGAAGAGAGAAGAAAAGAUGGUAAUUAAUUUUUCUUUUUUUUUUCUUUUCUGUUUGUAAUCGGGUCCAAUGAACUGGGUGUGGUGGGUUGAGUAGAGUAAUCUUUUAUUUUUGGUUGGAUUGGACUUUAUAUUUGGCAUAAGUAGAUGUUUUUUUAAGUUUUAGCAUAAAUGGGACACUUACUCAAAAGUGUCCCAAACAUGUGUCCCUAUAACCUAAUUCUGUUGUAGUGCCAAUCAUAUCCUUUCAAAGAUCAUCGACAAUAAAUU
rnacentral:lncRNA from 1 species